GCAAGUCGAACGAUGAUGCCCAGCUUGCUGGGCGGAUUAGUGGCGAACGGGUGAGUAAUACGUGAGUAACCUGCCCUUGACUCUGGGAUAAGCCUGGGAAACUGGGUCUAAUACUGGAUACUACCUCUUACCGCAUGGUGGGUGGUGGAAAGGGUUUUACUGGUUUUGGAUGGGCUCACGGCCUAUCAGCUUGUUGGUGGGGUAAUGGCUCACCAAGGCGACGACGGGUAGCCGGCCUGAGAGGGUGACCGGCCACACUGGGACUGAGACACGGCCCAGACUCCUACGGGAGGCAGCAGUGGGGAAUAUUGCACAAUGGGCGGAAGCCUGAUGCAGCGACGCCGCGUGAGGGAUGACGGCCUUCGGGUUGUAAACCUCUUUCAGUAGGGAAGAAGCGAGAGUGACGGUACCUGCAGAAGAAGCGCCGGCUAACUACGUGCCAGCAGCCGCGGUAAUACGUAGGGCGCAAGCGUUGUCCGGAAUUAUUGGGCGUAAAGAGCUCGUAGGCGGUUUGUCGCGUCUGCUGUGAAAGCCCGGGGCUCAACCCCGGGUCUGCAGUGGGUACGGGCAGACUAGAGUGCAGUAGGGGAGACUGGAAUUCCUGGUGUAGCGGUGAAAUGCGCAGAUAUCAGGAGGAACACCGAUGGCGAAGGCAGGUCUCUGGGCUGUUACUGACGCUGAGGAGCGAAAGCAUGGGGAGCGAACAGGAUUAGAUACCCUGGUAGUCCAUGCCGUAAACGUUGGGCACUAGGUGUGGGGGACAUUCCACGUUUUCCGCGCCGUAGCUAACGCAUUAAGUGCCCCGCCUGGGGAGUACGGCCGCAAGGCUAAAACUCAAAGGAAUUGACGGGGGCCCGCACAAGCGGCGGAGCAUGCGGAUUAAUUCGAUGCAACGCGAAGAACCUUACCAAGGCUUGACAUUCACCGGACCGCCCCAGAGAUGGGGUUUCCCUUCGGGGCUGGUGGACAGGUGGUGCAUGGUUGUCGUCAGCUCGUGUCGUGAGAUGUUGGGUUAAGUCCCGCAACGAGCGCAACCCUCGUUCUAUGUUGCCAGCACGUGAUGGUGGGG
rnacentral:rRNA from 1 species